UGAACGUAAGUUUGACUAAGUUAUGCUACUUUAGGGUUGGUAAAUCUCGUGCCAGCCACCGCGGUCAUACGAUUAACCCAAAUUAAUAAAUAUCCGGCGUAAAGCGUGAUUAGAAUAAACAACAAAAUAAAAUCAAAUAACAACUAAGCUGUAAAAAGUAAUAGUUGCAAACAAAAAUAAACAACGAAAGUGAUUUUAUACUCUUCGAACUCACGAUAGCUAAGGCCCAAACUGGGAUUAGAUACCCCACUAUGCUUAGCCCUAAACUUUGAUAAUUUCAUAACAAAAUUAUUCGCCAGAGAACUACAAGCCAAAGCUUAAAACUCAAAGGACUUGGCGGU
rnacentral:rRNA from 1 species